CACCAUGUGGCAGCAACUUGUGGCGCAGGAUCUGUCCCCGCCUGGUGCCAGCGACUGCAGGGCAGGACAGGCAGGGGCUGAGGCUGUCCCCUGCUGCCUUAGAGAAGAGAUCAAGCCUCAGAGAUGUGGACUGGGAGUUGCUACACAGGCCUGAGGUCCUGGAGGAUGUUCAGGGACCCCUGGAGUUCUGGAGAUUCUUCCGGAACCUCUGGGCCUCCAUCCUGUCCUGGAGCUCAGCGGCUCUCCUGAUGGGGCGCUCCCGCUCCUGGGGGAGAGGUGCAGGCCGGGAGGCCAAGCUUGCAUCACAACCCGAUGUCUGGUUGAAGUGCUC